AUGAACGCUGGCGGCGUGCCUAAUACAUGCCAGUCGAGCGAACAGACGAGGAGCUUGCUCCUCUGACGUUAGCGGCGGACGGGUGAGUAACACGUGGAUAACCUACCUAUAAGACUGGGAUAACUUCGGGAAACCGGAGCUAAUACCGGAUAAUAUAUUGAACCGCAUGGUUCAAUAGUGAAAGACGGUUUUGCUGUCACUUAUAGAUGGAUCCGCGCCGCAUUAGCUAGUUGGUAAGGUAACGGCUUACCAAGGCGACGAUGCGUAGCCGACCUGAGAGGGUGAUCGGCCACACUGGAACUGAGACACGGUCCAGACUCCUACGGGAGGCAGCAGUAGGGAAUCUUCCGCAAUGGGCGAAAGCCUGACGGAGCAACGCCGCGUGAGUGAAGAAGGUCUUCGGAUCGUAAAACUCUGUUAUUAGGGAAGAACAAAUGUGUAAGUAACUAUGCACGUCUUGACGGUACCUAAUCAGAAAGCCACGGCUAACUACGUG
rnacentral:rRNA from 1 species